UGGGGAAUAUUGGACAAUGGGCGCAAGCCUGAUCCAGCCAUGCCGCGUGAGUGACGAAGGCCUUAGGGUUGUAAAGCUCUUUUGGCGGGGAAGAUAAUGACGGUACCCGCAGAAUAAGCUCCGGCUAACUUCGUGCCAGCAGCCGCGGUAAUACGAAGGGAGCUAGCGUUGUUCGGAAUCACUGGGCGUAAAGCGCACGUAGGUGGACAGUUAAGUCAGGGGUGAAAGCCCGAGGCUCAACCUCGGAAUUGCCUCUGAUACUGGCUGUCUAGAGUCCGAGAGAGGUGGGUGGAAUUCCUAGUGUAGAGGUGAAAUUCGUAGAUAUUAGGAAGAACACCGGUGGCGAAGGCGGCCCACUGGCUCGGUACUGACACUGAGGUGCGAAAGCGUGGGGAGCAAA
rnacentral:rRNA from 1 species